GGAGGGUGCGAGCGUUGUCCGGAAUCACUGGGCGUAAAGGGCGCGUAGGCGGCCCGUCAAGCGCGCGGUGAAAGCCCGGGGCUCAACCCCGGGUCGGCCGUGCGGACUGGGGGGCUCGAGCACUGUAGGGGCGGGUGGAAUUCCGGGUGUAGCGGUGGAAUGCGUAGAGAUCCGGAAGAACACCGGUGGCGAAGGCGGCCCGCUGGGCAGGAAGGCUCGCAAGAGCCGGCUGACGCUGAGGCGCGACAGCGUGGGGAGCAAACAGGAUUAGAUACCCUGGUAGUCCACGCCGUAAACGAUGGGCACUAGGUGCCUGGGGGAGCGACCCCCCGGGUGCCGGCGCUAACGCAUUAAGUGCCCCGCCUGGGGAGUACGGCCGCAAGGCUG
rnacentral:rRNA from 1 species